rnacentral:rRNA from 1 species
UACAGAGGGUGCGAGCGUUAAUCGGAAUUACUGGGCGUAAAGCGCGCGUAGGCGGCUUUGCAAGUCGGGUGUGAAACCCCCAGGCUUAACCUGGGAACUGCAUUCGAGACUGCAUUGCUAGAGUAUGGGAGAGGGAAGUGGAAUUUCCGGUGUAGCGGUGAAAUGCGUAGAUAUCGGAAGGAACAUCAGUGGCGAAAGCGGGUCUCUGGACAGUUCCUGACGCUGAGGCACGAAGGCCAGGGGAGCAAACGGG